rnacentral:rRNA from 1 species
AGCGAACGCUGGCGGCAGGCUUAACACAUGCAAGUCGAGCGGGCAUCUUCGGAUGUCAGCGGCAGACGGGUGAGUAACACGUGGGAACGUACCCUUCGGUUCGGAACAACUCUGGGAAACUGGAGCUAAUACCGGAUACGCCCUUAUGGGGAAAGGUUUACUGCCGAAGGAUCGGCCCGCGUCUGAUUAGCUAGUUGGUGGGGUAACGGCCUACUAAGGCGACGAUCAGUAGCUGGUCUGAGAGGAUGAUCAGCCACACUGGGACUGAGACACGGCCCAGACUCCUACGGGAGGCAGCAGUGGGGAAUAUUGGACAAUGGGCGCAAGCCUGAUCCAGCCAUGCCGCGUGAGUGAUGAAGGCCUUAGGGUUGUAAAGCUCUUUUGUCCGGGACGAUAAUGACGGUACCGGAAGAAUAAGCCCCGGCUAACUUCGU